GUGAAUCAUCGAAUUUUUGAACGCAAAUUGCACUCUCUUCUGAGAGUAUGCCUGUUUGAGGGUCAGUAUUAAUAAAAAUCGGUUUGUUGCUUCUUUGUGACGAUCCGGAGUUUGGGUCAUCUUAAUAUAUCCUUUAGGUUUUAAGAGGCUUAAUAUUGACUUUUUUUUGCGCAUUUUAUUAGUUGUACUUACAUUUUUUUCUUUAUUCGUCUGUUUUAUUGUUCAAAAUGC
rnacentral:misc_RNA from 1 species